GGCCUAGCUAACAGGUAGAGGAACACUUGAUAGGCACAGACAACUCAUGACUCUGUCUUGCAAGCAAGUCAGCGAUUCCUCUAAUUCUCAGGAUGGUCAUCUGUGUUUUUUGGGUCCCUUGGGAGCUUUGUGAAAUGGAAGAGAGGUUCCAGGUGGGCCUUGGACCAAUUGAACCAGGGUCUUUGGGAGUUUUAAGACACCCUGGAUAAUACUGAACAAACCAAGUGGAAGAACCGGUGCUAUCCUGGGAGUACCGGGAGGGUCUUAGGCUGGUUUGAAAAAACAGCAAAUGCCAGAGAUUUCAUUAUGUUAAUUAUGACUUAAAACCUCUUGGGGGUUUGCUCUUGACCAGGUGCUGUGCCAAAUGUUUUCUGUGGAUUAUCUAAUUAAAAUUUCAAAACAACA